UUCGCACUUUACUAACUGUCACUCUCUCUUUUUCAGUCCCGUAACAGCCUGCAGCAGGGAGAUGUGGAUGGAGCUCUCAGACUGGGCCGUGUGGCUAAACUUCUGAGCAUAGUGGCAUUAGUGGGCGGAGCUUUGAUCAUCAUUGUGUGCUGUGUCGUUAAUUACGGGAUUUUGUGAGGUGAAAACUGUCACUCGCUCCCUGCACACAACGUGAGGAAGAAGGGACAUGCCGAGAAUUCAUCCAGAAUCCUUCACAUUCCAACAGAAAUGCCAGCUCUGAGAAAAUGUCCGCGAGAGAGUGCGUGUGUCUAGCGAGAGAGUGCGUGUGUCUAGCGAGAGAGUGCGUGUCUAGCGAGAGAACCAUAUUGUACCGUGUGACGGAUGCAAUGAAGUGUGAGUGCGAGAGACAGUGUGUCAGUGCCUUUUCCACGGAUGUUGUGUGUGUCUGCGAGUCUCCUCACCUCCUUUAUAUAUAAAUACAGUGUGUGUCCAUCACAUCAGUACAUCCUGAUACUGUGAGACCGAAUCUUCUCUCUGCCAGGGGGGAGGGGAGGAAAAACAAUUUGUGGCAGGCCUGUGGCAGAGAAAGGGUUACGGUCUGAGGUUCAUUUUCAUGAAAUAAUGACAGGAAUAGAAGCACAUGUAUGUAAUAAUUGUCACACAAAACCACAGGCAAUAUCAUGUGGGUAAUGGCACACAUACAUGUACACAAGUGCACAAUUACAUAUAUACACACAAAACAUGAGUACGCACACAAAAUAGCACAUGCACCAAUGCAAGUGCACUCAUAAACACACACAAAUAUAGACAAACAAACAGCAGAGGACUGGCAAUUUACAACUACAUUAACUAAUAACUAUAAUUCAUUUUUUAUGGGGAUAUAUGACAAGUCCAGUCCAAUUACCCCACAUAACCGAUACAUAGACACAAAUAUACACUAACACAAAUAACACACAUACACAUAGACAAAAAUAUACACUAAUACAAAUAACACACACACAUAGACAAAAAUAUACACUAAUACAAAUAACACACAUACAUAGACACAAAUAUACACAAACACAAAUAACAUACACACAGACACAAAUAUACACUAACACAAAUAACACACACACAUAGACACAAAUAUACACAAACACAAAUAACACACACACACAGACACAAAUAUACACAAACACAAAUAACACACACACACAGACACAAAUAUACACUAACACAAAUAACACACACACAAAUAUACACUAACACAAAUAACACACACACAAAUAUACACAAACACAAAUAACACACACACACAGACACAAAUAUACACUAACACAAAUAACACACACACAAAUAUACACAAACACAAAUAACACACACACACAGACACAAAUAUACACAAACACAAAUAACACACACACACAGACACAAAUAUACACUAACACAAAUAACACACACACAAAUAUACACUAACACAAAUAACACACACACAAAUAUACACUAACACAAAUAACACACACAGACACAAAUAUACACUAACACAAAUAAUACACACAGACACAAAUAUACACUAACACAAAUAACACACACAGACACAAAUAUACACUAACACAAAUAACACACACAGACACAAA